rnacentral:lncRNA from 1 species
UCCUUUUUUCUUUUUUCCGGCGUUCAAGAUGUCGAAGCGAGGACGUGGUGGGUCCUCUGGUGCGAAAUUCCGGAUUUCCUUGGGUCUUCCGGUAGGAGCUGUAAUCAAUUGUGCUGACAACACAGGUGAGGUCUUUGCACGUUGCUAUACUCCCCCUUUUAAAAGCACUCAAUGGGCCUGUGGCUAAUGACCUAUUGAGCCGUCAAGAAAGGGGAGAGUGAAAACAUCGCUUUUGGGUGAAGUGGCAACAUGUGUUGUUUGCUUCAAUCGGUGGUGUGACAAGGCGUUCUUGCGGACUAACUGCUUGGGCAGUGAGUGGAGGGAGGGGCUUUGGAAGUGUUUGGGAAAUGUUAUACUGAUGGAACGGCCUGAUGGCCCUCAACAUUUUUUAUUUUUAUUUACAUUCUUUUGUAGGAGCCAAAAACCUGUAUAUCAUCUCCGUGAAGGGGAUCAAGGGACGGCUGAACAGACUUCCCGCUGCUGGUGUGGGUGACAUGGUGAUGGCCACAGUCAAGAAAGGCAAACCAGAGCUCAGAAAAAAGGGUGAGU